GACCAGGAUACCGAGUCAAAACUACCUACUACGGUGCGUUGCCGCGCGCGCGUACUGGAUUAUCGGAGCUGACGUCGGGAUUUCCGUUCCCACCUCGUCGGGGUCCUGACAGGCAAAUAAAUACCGAGUCCUCCUCUUGGAUCGACCACCGUGCGCGCAACCGUGCUCUCUGCCCAAAGCCAAUCGUCCAUGUGCGAGUGAGAUCGGUCAGGGGUGAGAACCUGGGUGCGUGUGGGUCACCGGAAUCGGGUCUCGGAGUUCGUCGUAGUCCCUCCCUCAAGAUACAUCUGGGUGAUUCACUUGGGACCGCUGAGUGCGUGGUGAC
rnacentral:lncRNA from 7 species